AAAAGCUAUGCUGUGAAACUUGUGUAACACACAGGAAUUUUAUGGCCUGGAGUUCACUGCAAUAGCAAACAAUCUUCCAUUGCAUGCAUUGGAAAUAACCAGCUUCUAUUUACCAGUCUUCACUGUUAACUGCACCUACGGGAAGCAGGCAAACAGUUCUCAGAGGAAAAGGAAUAAGGGGAAUAAGGAAGAUUAAACUGACGUUAACUUCCAUGCUGUCUGGCUGGGAUGAGCGCUGCAAGUGAGUGUCCGGCAUGGAGGCCAUAUGUUGGAGCCAAACUUGCAAAACGUUU
rnacentral:lncRNA from 1 species